CCUACGGGGGGCAGCAGUGGGGAAUUUUCCGCAAUGGGCGAAAGCCUGACGGAGCAACGCCGCGUGAGGGAGGAAGGUCUUUGGAUUGUAAACCUCUUUUCUCAAGGAAGAAGUUCUGACGGUACUUGGGGAAUCAGCCUCGGCUAACUCCGUGCCAGCAGCCGCGGUAAUACGGGGGAGGCAAGCGUUAUCCGGAAUUAUUGGGCGUAAAGCGUCCGCAGGUGGUCAGCCAAGUCUGCUGUCAAAUCAGGUUGCUUAACGACCUAAAGGCGGUGGAAACUGGCAGACUAGAGAGCAGUAGGGGUAGCAGGAAUUCCCAGUGUAGCGGUGAAAUGCGUAGAGAUUGGGAAGAACAUCGGUGGCGAAAGCGUGCUACUGGGCUGUAUCUGACACUCAGGGACGAAAGCUAGGGGAGCGAAAGGGAUUA
rnacentral:rRNA from 1 species